rnacentral:tRNA from 1 species
AAAAAAAAUGUUGGGGGGAAAACCCCCAUCUUUGUGUUGGGGGGCUUUUUUUUUUU